GAUGAACGCUGGCGGCGUGCUUAAUACAUGCAAGUCGAGCGAACGGACGAGAAGUUUGCUUCUCUGAUGUUAGCGGCGGACGGGUGAGUAACACGUGGAUAACCUACCUAUCUGACUGGGAUAACUUCGGGAAACCGGUGCUAAUACCGGUUAAUAUUUUGAACCGCAUGGUUCAUAUGUGAAAGAUGGUCUUGGUGUGACUUCUAGACGGAUCCGCGCUGCAUUAGCUAGUUGGUAAGGUACCGGCUUACCAAGGCAACGAUGCAUAGCCGACCUGAGAGGGUGAUCAGCCACACUGGAACUGAGACACGGUCCAGACUCCUACGGGAGGCAGCAGUAGGGAAUCGUCCGCAAUGGGCGAAAGCCUGACGGAGCAACGCCGCGUGAGUGAUGAAGGUCUUCGGAGCGUAAAACUCUGUUAUUAGGGAAGAACAUAUGUGUAAGUAACUGUGAACAUCAUGACGGUACCUAAUCAGAAAGCCACGGCUAACUACGUG
rnacentral:rRNA from 1 species